AUUUACAUGUCUCAUCUUAAAAAGGCACAUCCUCCUGAGUGAACAGUGAUUCCAGCCAAGGAUCUUAGCCUCCAGUUCACUAAACAAUAUCAACCUUUGACUUGGGACUAGAAGCAGAUAACAGCUGUUGUUGACAGCUUUAACCCAAGACACUGGCCCACCCAUGCCUAUGUACAAAAGAACACCUGUGUUUAUUGUGUAUUAGCCAUUAUGAUGAUUAUCCUAGGGAUACUGGCAAUUGCUAUCUUAUGGAGAACCCAGCACCUGGUUUAUCUGAUUUAGUGUCUUUGCAGUAGUUAAAGUGAAUCUCAAAACGCUGCAGCUAUUUAUGCUCUUUUCCUAUGCCUUCUUGCCUUCUUGCCUUCUUGCCACUGCCGUCUGCUGUAGCCCGUGAAAUAAACCUGUUUCUACAGUGGCUCAGGAUUAUACACACAGAUUCCAAAAAGAUGCCUGCUGAAUAUGCCAACCAUGCCUAUAUUACUACAAGACACUGGCUAGCAUACCACGAAUUGGGUACAGCAACAUGGUAUUUAUUAGCUAGCUCCAAAUAGGACAUACUGGCUAUGUAGCACUAAUUUAUGGCCUCAGUUAACCCCAGGAUGGUUAGGACAAUGUUCCCUAGGUUAUGCUUGGGCACAAGGAUGA
rnacentral:lncRNA from 10 species